rnacentral:sRNA from 1 species
GGAUGGCCCCUAUGAUGAAGCAUGAGAUGGAUGGCCACCACCCUGGUGCUGACUAUCCGGUUGAUGGGCUGCCUGACCUGGGACACGCCCAGGACCUCAUGGACCAGCUGCCCCCAGGUGAUAGCAAUCAGCUGGCCUGGUUUGAUACGGACCUGUAAAUCGUCCUUUAGGAGUAACCAUACAAAUGGAUUUGGGGAGUGACUCACGAAGUGAAGAAUGCACACGAGUGGAUCACAAGAUGGCGUUAUCAAACCCUAGCCUUGCUUGUUCCUUUUUUUUUUUUAAUAUUUGUAAUGGUACUGACUUAGCUUGCUUUGAAGUAGCUUUUAUUUUUUGCAGUAACUGUUAGUUUUUAAGUCUCGUAGUGUUAUGUUCUAGUGAACCGGCUACAGCAAUUUCUGAUUUCUAAGAACUGAGUAAUGGUGUAGAACACUAAUUCAUAAUCAAUGCUAAUUGUAAUCUGGAGACGUGUAACAUUGUGUAGCCUUUUGUAUAAAUAGACAGAUAGAAAUGGUCCGAUUAGUUUCCUUUUUAAUAUGCUUAAAA